rnacentral:tRNA from 1 species
GCGCCCGUAGCUCAAUUGGAUAGAGCGUCUGACUACGGAUCAGAAGGUUGGGGGUUCGAGUCCUCCCGGGCGCGCCA